CCCCUGACAAAACAAGGUCUUAUUCUGUUGCCAGGCUGGAGUACAGUGGCGCCGUCAUGGCUCACUGCAGCCUCAAUGUCCCAAGCUCAGGUGAUCUUCCCACCUCAGCCUCCUGUGUAGCUGGGACCACAGCAUCUCACCUGUAACCCCAGCACCACCAUGCCUGAAGUUAUUUUUGUAUUUUUUGUGGAGAUGGGGUUCUGUUAUAUUGCCUAGGUUGGUCUCGACCUCCUGACCUCAAGCACAUGCCACCACAUGUGGCUAAUUUUUGUACUUUUAGUAGAGACAGGGUUUCACCAUGUUGGCCAGGCUGGUCUCAAACUCCUAACAUCAGGUGAUCUGCCUGCCUCAGCCUCCCAAAGUGCUGGGAUUACAGGUGUGAGCCACUGCGCCUGGUCCACCAUGCCUUUUAUGAUCCAUUCUUCAAGUCACUUUCAUACCUUUUAUGAUCUAUUAUUUGAGUCACUUGUUGCUUAGCCUGUUCAUUAGAAGCUGGUCACUAAGUCUAGCCCACAUUCAACAGGGAGGGAGGGAUUACACAGGGGUGUGAAUACCAGGAGGCUGGGAUCAUUGAGGCCAUCUUGGAGGCCAGCUACAAUAAUACUCACUUAAAUUUAGCGAACUCAGAAAAAAUUAGAAUCCUAAUAGAGCGGAAACAAAAAGCUCUAUAUUCUCUAUUAUUUGAAAUACAGUUUUAUGAUUUAAGAAAAUGGGCUCAUAGAAAUUAGUCCUUUUAUUCAUUCUGUUGCUUAUGUGGCUAUAGAAUAUUUUCAAAUCAAGGGCUUCUAUAAGGAAGGUCUGUUAACGGGUGACUGAUUAUAAGUAUAUACCUUACAUAUGACCAAGUCAGAGCACAGAAUUUUAUAAUCCUUCAAAUAUAUUUGAAACUUUUAUACCCAGGUACCUGGUGAGCUGUCUACAUUGGCUCUUAAUAAGGAUCUUUCUCAGAAAUGAUUUAAACUAAUAACAGUAUAAUAGAAAGAGCUCUAGAUUUGAGUCAAGACAGUCAUAACUAUUUUCCUUAACAUGUAAAUGAGGAUCAGAAUGUCUGCCCUAUUCAUGUGCCUCAUGUGAGAAUUAAAUGUAGUACCAGAAUAUGUGAAAAUGCCUUUUAAAUUGUAAACCCCUGUCUACAGUUAGGCAAUUUGAUGGUUCUGUAGGGUGAGAUUAUAGCUAACUGAUUGAUAGAGUGUUUGUGCUACAGUGUGCCUUAGGUAAGCUUCACGUCAGGUAGUUGAACAAUGUUGGAACACUACAUCUUUCCCAAGUGUUCCAUCCUGGUGUGUUACAAACACUGGCAGCCAAAAUGUUCUUAAUUCUUUAAUCUAGCUGUCAAAAGACAAGGGAAAAGCAACUAAUCAGAAUUUAAAUCAUUCUUAAGUUAAAAUUGUGUAGACCAGGCAACUCCAGUUCCUUUGAUCUUUCCUCUUAGGACUUAUUUCCAAUUACUUUUAUUUCAAAUAAAUGCAAGUGAUUAUGGUUGACCAUAAAUUAUUAGUCUUGAGUGGUCAGAUUAAUGGUUUUUACAUGUAUUCUGUGUCUCAUAAAGCUUCAUUGGGAUUUUGAAAUAAUGAUUGGAUGUACUUACUUUGCGAUCCCAGUUUAUGACUUUAAAGAUAAGGGGUAUGAAAAUCAUUUCAUAAAAGGAAAAAAAUGAACUUUACAGUGCUACUGUUCAUUUUUUUCUGUGGAAAUUGAAUAUGCUAUCUCGUUUUUACCACAUUGACCUCAGAAAAAGAGAGGUUAAACUUUUCUAUGGUUGUUACAUUCUUGUUUAUAGCUUAUGAUUUUAAUUGAUAGUCAAAUACAUUAAUGUCAGACAUCGAGAAGUAUUUAUUAAGUAUAUGUCAUUAGAGUAGCUACUUUUAAAAAUUUUGAUAAGUUGUAUUUUUUUUCUUUCUGGACUUUAUACUUAAAAGUCUUUUAAUUUAUUUUUAUGAGCAUAAAAUAAAGCAAAAUCUAACAAGAUUGGAUUUAAUGAGUGAGGACAGAAUUUUAUUUUAAAUGGCCUUUUCUAAUAAAGGUCUAUGAUUCUGCUUCUUCUGGUACCAUUUACGCACUUGCCUGCAGGAUCUUUGUCCCAAAAUACAUAUUGUGUUUGUUUAUAUACCAUCCACAAUUUGGCAGAGUUUACAGGACUUCUUGAUGUUAGCUUUGAGAAAUCCCUAUUUAAGCUCAAGAAGUUCCUUCUCUGUAGAUAGCCCAGUCAUUCCAAAUAAAAGAUCUCUAUGGUAAAGCUUUGGAGUGUGAUUUUCUUCAAGAGAAAUUAGACAACUUUACAAAUACCUUGUCACAUCUGGAUUUUAAGUAUUUCAGUUCGACUAAAAUAUGAAUUGACAGCACUUAGUUAUUGACAGUUUAGUGUAUUGAAAUCUGGUUUUUAAAAAUAUGCUUUAGAUAAACUAUAAUACUCUAAUAAUAACGGAAUCAUAAAAUUUAGAACUGGUAACUGCAAGCUUAUAUAUAUAUAUAUAUUUGACACCUUUGUAGCUGGCAGAGCGUUUGUAUUUUUAAAGAAAAGUUUUUAUUUUAGUUAUUUUAGUUAUUUUUCAAUCUAAGAGAGGAAGUCGACUUUCUGAAAAAAUUAAAAUGUUUUGGCUAGGUGGGGUGGUUCAUGCCUGUAAUCCCAGCACUUUGGGAGGCCGAGGCAGGUGGAUCACCUGAGGUCAGGAGUUCGAGACCAGACUGGCCAACGUGAUGAAACCCCACCUCUACUAAAAAUACAAAAAAUUAGCCAGGUAUGCUGGCAUGUGCCUGUAAUCCCAGCUACUUGGGAGACUGAGGCAGGAGAAUUGCUUGAACCCGGGAGGCGGAGGUUGCAGUGGGCUGAGAUUGUACCACAACACUCCAGCCUGGGCAACAGAGCAAGACUCUGUCUGAAAAAAAAAAAAUUAAAAUGUUUUAAAAUUAGUAUGUCAUAGUACCUUCCAGUUAGAGUACGUGAAUCUGCAUACAUGGUAAAUGCACCUCUGAAGCACUUGAAGAUUGUGAAGUCCCGUUUUCUCUUCUUUUGGAUUGCAUUAUUUCCAUUUUAGUGUAAAGGUGAAAUUCUCUUUCAUGACCUUUCCUGAAUUACAUAUUCCAAGUGAGAGAAGGCAGAAAUAAUAUGUCUGAGAAGAGCAUCCUUCACUCUUCCCCUCCUUCCUUCUACUUUCUACAUUUUUUUUUUUUUUUUUGAGACAGUGUCUUGCUCUGUCAUCCAGGCUGGAGUGCAGUGAUGUAAUCUUGGCUCACUGCAACCUCCGCCUCCCAGGUUCAAGCGAUUCUCCUGCCUCAGCCUCCCAAGUAGCUGGGAUUACAGGCACCCGCCACCACACCUGGCUAAUUUUUGUGUUUUUAUUGGAGAUGGGGUUUCACCAUUUUGGCCAGGCUGGUCUCAAACUCCUGACCUCAGGUGAUCCGCCUGUCUUGGCCUCCCAAAGUGUUGGGAUUAUAGGCGCUCUGAGCCACUGUGCCUGGCCUUUUUUGUUGUUGUUUGUUUGUUUUUGAAACUAGAUAUCUCUCUGUCACCCAGGCUGGAGUGCAGUGGUGUGAUCUUGGCUUACUGCAACCUCUGCCUCCUGGGCUCAAGCGAUCCUCCCACCUCAGCCUCCCAAGUAGCUGGAACCACAGGCACGCGCCACCAUGCCCAGGUAAUUUUUUUGUAGAUAUGGGGGUCUCACCAUGUUGCCCAGGCUGGUCUCAAACUCCUGGACUCAAGCAAUCCUCUCGCCUUGGCCUCUCAAAGUGCUGGGAUUACAGGCAUGUACCCAUCAUUUUUUUUUAAUGGUUAAUUCAAAUGCUGCCAGGAUAAAGACUAUUGAAAUGUUGUUGUCUGAAGAUGUUAAUUUCUUUGUAGCACUGCUAUGCCCUAGUUUUACUAUUUCCCAUUUUCACUUGUAGUUUUUCAAUCAGCAUUAUUGAGGUAUAAUUUACAUGUAGUACAGUUCACCUAUUUUAAGUGUACAAGUCUGUGACAACUGUGUAUUCAGUAGUAUAACCACCACCAAAGUUCACCAUUGCUUCAAAAAGUUCCCUCAUGCCCCCUUGCAGGUAGUGUUCUAAUUGAUGCAGACAUACAUGCACUGAUACUUUUGUGAUCCUCAUCUUACAGGGAAGAAAACGUUUGUAAUUUCUUUUUAACAGCAUAAAAAUGCUGUUUACCUUCAGGUGCAGAGACUUUGUUUCUUCAAUAUUAUUCUUUGAUGCUUAGUUUUGUACAGAGGAUUGGAAGCUACAGACAAGCUAAAGUAUAAUAGUGAUAUGGUAGACUUUAAUUAUUGUUCCUUUUUUUAUGAAAGUAUGCACGUGAACAGUUGGAAAGUAUUAUCUGUUAUAAGCUUUUCAGUUUAAGCUGGGCCUCCUCAAAUUGAUGUGUGUUUAGGAACUAAGAAUUUUAAAUAACAUUUGAAGGGCCGGGCGCAGUAGCUCAUACCUGUAAUCCCAGCACUUUAGGAGGCCAAGGCAGGCAGAUCACAAGGUCAGGAGUUCAAGACCAGCUUGGCCAACAUAGUGAAACCCCGUCUCUACUAAAAAAAAAAAAAAAUUAGCCAGGCAUAAGCUGAGAUCAUGCCACUGCACUGUAGCCUGGGCAACACAGCAAGACUCUGUCUCAAUAAAUAAAUACCAUUUGAAAUGUCUUCAAUGCCAUGUGUGGAAACUAUUUAAAAAAAUAAAACGUGCCUCUUGGCAGUAUUGCUGUGCUUUCAGGACUCUAAUGCAGGCUGUACCUAAGAGGGAAAGGGCUGAGUCUGGGGAUGGUUGGCAGGUUGUUUUUGUGGAUGAAAAACCUUUUACCCAUGUAUGCAGUCAGUACUGAGCCUUUUUGUGUUUUAAAACUUCAGAUGUAAAGACAGGUUAAUCUUCAGAUUAAAACAAAAGGAUGGCCUAGAAACUUGUGACUUCGACAUUUACAUUAGAAGAAUGUAGAUGUUUUCAAAUAAACAAAUCUGCCCAUAUCAUAGAUGUUCAAAGUUUGUUCCAUAUAAUAACAAUGAUAGUUUCUAAUAAUCGUGUGGCCCUGUUUGCAGAACAGUGUUCUAAGUAAUGAGCCAUUUGGGAGAACCCUUUAAAUUUUUUUUUUAGGAUAUUUAUUCACACCAGCUUUUUAGUCCUGAGUUUCUAUCCAUCCCUUUGCUAUCCAGAACAUUUCUUGGCCAUUUUUUUACUGGGUCAGGUGCCGUGGCUCGUGCCUUUGGUCCCAGUGCUCUGGAAGGCCAGGGCGGGUGGAUCGCCUGGGGUUAGGAGUUCAAGACUAGCGUGGCCAGCAUGGUGAAGCCCCGUCUCUACUAGGAAUGCAAAAAUUGGCUGGGCAUGGUGGUGGGUGCCUCUGGUCCCAGCUGCUCGGGAGGCUAAGGCAGGAGAAUCACUUGAACCUGGGAGGCAGAGGGUGCAGUGAGCCAAGAUCGCGCCACUGCACUCCAGCCUGGGAACAAAAUUCCAUCUCAAAAAAAAUAAAAAUAAAAAUGCAGAAAUUGGUCAGGCGUGGUGUCGCAUGCCUCUGGUUCCAGCUACUUGAGAGAGGCUGGGGUGGGAGAGUUGCUUGGGCCUGGGAGGCAAAGGUUGCAGUGAGCAGAGAUCGCACCACGGCACUCCAGCCUGGGUGACAGAGCAAGGCUCCAUCUCCAAACAAACAAAUAACAAAAAAAACCCCUAAAACAUUUUUUAUUUUCCUUAAAUGUAUUGGCCAAGGUUAAAAUAUCCAUCCUGAAUAUUCUGUAUGAAAACAUUGGAUAUGAAGAAAAAAAGAAAAUUCAGGCAGUUGACCAGGGGAGAGAAUUGAGCUUUUUGGUUCUUCCUGACACAUAUUCUCAGUGAGACUAUACUCACUUUUUUAAAAGCUAUUUAUAAAAUAUUAAAAUAAGAUAUUACAUGAAGUUAAAAAUUGAAACGAAAGUCAGCAUCUUAAUUCACCAAUUACACAACUGAAUGGUGUUUUUUGUUUGUUUGUUUGAGACAGAGUCUCGCUCUGUUGUCGAGGCUGGAGUGCAGUGGCAUGAUCUCAGCUCACUGCAAGCUCUGCCUCCCGGGUUCAUGCCAUUCUACUGCCUCAGCCUCCCGAGUAGCUGGGACUACAGGAGCCCGCCACCACGCCUGGCUAAUUUUUUUGUAUUUUUUUAGUAGAGACGGGUUUUCACCAUGUUAGCCAGGAUGGUCUCGAUCUCUUGACCUUGUGAGCCACCGUGUCUAGCCUUUUUUUUUUUUUUCUUUUUUUUUUUUUUGAGAUGGAGUUUCACUCUUGUUGUCCAGACUGGAGUGCAAUGGCGCCAUCUCAGCUCACCACGACCUCCACCUCCCGGGUUCAUGCAAUUCCCUACCUCAGCCUCCCGAGUAGCUGGGAUUACAGGCAUGUGCCACCAUGCUUGGCUAAUUUUUUGUAUUUUUAGUAGAGACAGGGUUUCUCCAUGUUGGUCAGGCUAGUUUUGAACUCCUCAUCUCAGGUGAUCUACCCACCUCGGCCUCAUAAAGUGCUGGGAUUACAGGUGUGAGCCACCGCGCCUGGCCACUGAGUGGUUUUUAAUAUAUUCACAACCAUCACCAUUAUGUAAUUUGUGAGUAUUUCAGAACUCUGAACCAUUUUAUUUAUUUUUUAUUUAUUUACUUAUUUUGAGACAGAGUCUCUUGUCUGCCAGGCUGGAGUGCAGUGGCGCAAUCUCGGCACACUGCAACCUCCGCCUCCCGGAUUCAAGCUAUUCUCCUGCCUCAGCCUCCUGAGUAGCUGGGAUUACAGGAGCCUGCCACCACACCCGGCUGAUUUUUGUACUUUUAGUAGAGACGGUUUCACCAUGUUGGCCAGGCUGGUCUCGAACUCCUGACCUCAGGUGAUCUGCCCACCUUGGCCUCCCAAAGUGCUGGUAUUAUAAGCGUGAGCCACCGCGCCCGGCCCCAUUCUGUUUAUUUUUGAGACAGACUCUGUCUCCCAAGCUGGAAUGCAAUGGCACAACCAUGGCUCACUGCAGCUUCAACCUCCCAGGCUCAAGCGAUUCUUCCACCUCACUGGGACUGUAGGCACAUGCCACCGCACCAGCUGUUUUUUUUUGUUUUACUUUUUGUAGAGAUGGGGUCUCACUAUGUUGCUUAGGGUGGUCUCGAACUCCUGGCUGGGUUCAAGUGAUCCUUCCACUUUGGCCUCCCAUGAACCAUUUUAAAUGCUUUUUGAGAACUGCAAAGCAGUUUUUAUGGUGAUCACUACCACCGGACACUGUGCUAGAUGGUUUACAUUAUCACUAAUUCUCCUAAUACUGCACUGUAUAGAAGAACUGUUUAAUUUUAGAACAUAUCUGGUGAUAGCUUGAUUUUACAGCUGAGGAAACUGAGGCCAGGAGGCUAAGUUAACCUUCAAAAGUCGUAUUAUCUGUUUCCUGGUACAGCCAGGACCCAGACCCACUUAUUUUUUACCCCUAAGUCUGUUCUUUGCAUACUACACUACUGCUAAUAAGUAAUCAUUAGGUAAGUUGAUGCAAACUCCACAUACCACCUUCCAAAGCCUUAUUUAGAGUUAUUUUGGUCCACCAAGUUACUCUACUG
rnacentral:lncRNA from 1 species